GGCCGUACCCUAAUAUGACCUUUGACGCUGUUCAAACGGAGGUUGACAAUGGUUACCAGAUGCCACGCCCUCGUCAUUGUGCACAAGAAGUGUAUACGGUCAUGUCUGGUUGUUGGGAGAAGGAACCUACGAAUCGGAGUAACUUUGAUCAGACCCUCACGAGUUUGGAGAGGAUUCUAGAAAAAGAAUCACAUUUACCUGUCUCUCAAUGACUUAGAUGAAGGAUUGUUUGUGUCUACACUGGACAUGUGAGAUUAAGCCUAGGUCGGAUAUACAGCGGUACUACAAUGCAUCUUCACCUUUUUCGCUGUAUGAUGACUGGAACCGAGCCAA